rnacentral:rRNA from 1 species
GACGAACGCUGGCGGCGUGCUUAACACAUGCAAGUCGAACGAUCAACCCGGAGCUUUCCCUGGGGGACUAGUGGCGAACGGGUGAGUAUAACGCGAGUAAACCGUCCUGGACUGUGGGAUAAAAGUUGGAAACGACGUAUCAUACCGGAUAGGACAUUUGAAAGCACGUUGUGCGGUGGAAAGUUUCUUUGGUCCGGGCUGGAAUGGCGGCCUCGCAGCUUGUUGGUAUGGUAAUGGAUCACCAAGGAGUCGACGGGUAGCCGGCCUGAGAGGGAGACCGGCCACGCUGGGACUGAGACACGGCCCAGACACCUGCGGGAGGCAGCAGUGGGGAGUAUGGCUGAAGGGGCGAAAGCCUGUGGGAGCAACGGCGCGUGCGGGAGGACGGCCUUCUGGUUGUGAACCAACUAUAGUAGAGAAGAAGGUCUUCGGCUUGACGGUACCUGCAGAAAAAGAACCGGCUAACUACGUG